rnacentral:tRNA from 1 species
GAAGGUACAGCUCAGUGGUAGAGUGCAUGCCUAGCAUGCACGAGGUCCUGGGUUCAAUUCCCAGUAACCCCA